rnacentral:lncRNA from 10 species
CUCGCCCGCGCGCGCCGGCGCCCCCUCCCCGCCACGUGACCGGCGUCCCAGUCCGACCCGCGCGCUGCGCCCCUGCUGAGCGGCGCGGAGCUACCACGCCCUGCCAGACUCGCCCUUGGGUCCCUGUCUGACGAGCUCUAGGCAAUCUGCCCUCGUUCGGGACACAACCAUCGGUCUCACCCCUCAGUUUCUGCCAGAGAAAAAGGAAAAGUCACCGAGAGGCCUGACCCUGACGGGUGGGGGAGAUGCGCGUGCGGAGUAGCGGGAAGCGACUGAGGAGCGGGGAAUGGGCAGCAUUUGAAUGGAUGCGGGUGCCGCUGGCACCCGGGAAGACGCUGGGGGCCGGCGCUGUAGAGCCGGGCAUGGGCUGGGAUGUGUUUGGAUUCCAAUCCGGGCCUGACACCAGUUCAGUGACCUCGGGAAGUUCCCCAACCCUCCGGGCCUGUUUCCUCCCUCUGAAGUGGCGACAGUAGUAGAACCGACCUCGUAGGCUCAUCGGGAGGUCCUGAUGGGAGAACCCAUGCAACUUGCCACCAUAGAGCCAGGCCCGCGGCGGUUGGCGCCUGGUGGGUAUUAAAGACGAGUCGGGAAAGAAGAGCAGGUAAGAGGGUGGGGAGACUGGCCCAGUGGGUUGGGGUGUGCACCUCGGCCACGUGGAAAAGCGAGAAUGCAGAGGCCGGACGCUUAUGGACGAUGCAUAUGUGGGGCCGGAUAGAAUUGUGGCAGGCGGCGCUGGGGCUGAUGCUCCUCACCCGGAUUAUCCUCUCUAAUCCUCAGCCCUGUGAAGUGGGCACUGCCCUGAACAUUUUGUAAAUAAGGGACCCGAGGCUCAGAGAGGUGAAGUAACUUUCCAGACAGCCCAGCUCGUCAGCGGCCAGCAUUUGAAGUCACACUCCAGAGCCUGUUUUUAACAUAAUAGCCGCUGUGACCGCAUAACCAACGUGUGUGUUGAAGUGAUCAAAUAACCAUGGAGUGUCUUUGAUGUCCAGGACUUUUGAGAAAUACCGAAAAAUAUGAGGCAAGGCCCCUGCCUUCAAAGAGCUUGCAAGUUUUUGGGGGAGACUUAGGCACAAAUUAACCAACAUCUGUUGAGCACUUGCUGCUUGCCAGGACCCUGCCCUUCCCCUCGUGUCUUCCUCCCUUCCAGGACUCACCCCCUCACUUACCCUCCCCCUCACUUACCCUCCCCCUCAAUUCUCACAGCAACCCUGGGAGGUAGGCCUUAUGGUUUCUGUUUUGCAAAUGAAGAACCUGAGAUUGAAGAAGAGUAGAGAUUGGAGGAUCAGAUCCUGAGAGGUCCCAUGUGCUUUCCAAUAACAGUUCAGUAUAUUAGAAGACAGUGUGGCAUCCACGGCCAAGUACUACUAGUUGAUAGACUGGAUGCUGCUAUGGUAAUCUGCCUCAGGAAAAUGCCGGACUGUUGUUUGCAAGCUGGUUAAGUGAGCAAAUCUUGGGAAGAUUUCAAGGAAACUCCCAAGCAUUCUGGAAGCUCUGCAUGUGAGUAAGAACCACUGCUGUUGCUGUUGCUGUAGCUGCCUGAAUCUAUGGCAAAAAGCCAGGAAAAAAAAAUUGCUUCACACCAUGUGCACCGACUCCCCUGGAGCUGGCACCACCAGGGCGUCUGCAGAGCUAUGUCUGACAGUCCUGCCAUUUCCUAACUUCUCCUGUGUGGUCAUCCACCUACCUUUGGGAACCUCCAGUCAUUACUCACAGAGUUGGUCUCAUCCUGGGAACUCUCUCUUGCCUCUCCCAGUGGUUCAUUCUCCAAGUCUGAGUUAUUUGGUCAAAAAAACCUCCAAAUGCUUCAGACAACUCUCGCAAACUUGUCAUAGCUUUUGGUAUUCCAGGCCACAGAAGAGCCCAGGUGGGUACAUGGGCCCUCCAAGUGUUUGUUUCCUCACCACUGUGAGUGACAAAUAUGCUUCUUUAUCCUUAAAAUUGUCCAGCCAGUAACUGUUGGAACACACUGACCUAGAUCCACACAUGCAAACACACCUUUCAAGGGCAAAUGUUAAUUCACAAAGACAAUUGUAAAAUCUAAGCUAAAGUUCACAAAUGGGAGCUGCCUUUGAAGUGAAUUCAGCCCACAGACAUCUUUGAUUAGCACCGUGUGUUGUUGUUGUUGCUGUUUUAAAUUUUUUUUUUUUUUUUUUUUUUUUGAGACAGCGUUUUGCUCUUG